CUCAAACUCUCAGAGUCUCACUUCAUCUGCAUAUGCCAGAAUCAUUUUUCUCUUUUGCCAACAAAAUAUAUGGGUUACUGCAAGAAGAUGCUAACAGAAAACAACUAAGUUGUGCAUAUUUGGAUUUUGUCACACUUGAGGAAUAUAGGGAAUGAGAUAAGAACCCAACUGGUGAUAUGAUGCAUAAACCACUUCUCUCAUUGUUAAGAUGCAGGAGUUGAUAGUAUAGGAGGCACAAGCACUUCAUAUGUUUAGCAACAGGAUUGGAAGUGUAUGUAUCCAUAAAAGUUGAUUUAGUGCCUUACCGGUAAUAUCAUGUGAGAUUUCAUUGACUUUAGUUUGUUUUUCCGUAGUUAUUAAAGGCUCAAGGCACAUUAAAGCGCCAAGGAGAGCUGGAGCCUAGGCGCAAGGCGCAAAUGCACGCCCGAGCAAGGUGAGGCGCAAAAAUUAAAAAA
rnacentral:misc_RNA from 1 species